rnacentral:tRNA from 1 species
GCCUGGGUGGCUCAGUCGGUUGAGCGUCCGACUUCGGUUCAGGUCAUGAUCUCGAGGUUCGUGGGUUCGAGCCCCACGUUGGGCU